GAUGAACGCUAGCGACAGGCUUAACACAUGCAAGUCGAGGGGCAGCAUGAGGUAGCAAUACCUUGAUGGCGACCGGCGCACGGGUGAGUAACGCGUAUGCAACCUGCCCGAUACCGGGGUAUAGCCCAUGGAAACGUGGAUUAACACCCCAUAGUACUUUUAUCCUGCAUGGGAUGUGAGUCAAAUGUUCAAGGUAUCGGAUGGGCAUGCGUCCUAUUAGUUAGUUGGCGGGGUUAACAGCCCACCAAGACGAUGAUAGGUAGGGGUUCUGAGAGGAAGGUCCCCCACAUUGGAACUGAGACACGGUCCAAACUCCUACGGGAGCAGCAGUGAGGAAUAUUGGUCAAUGGACGAGAGUCUGAACCAGCCAAGUAGCGUGCAGGAUGACGGCCCUAUGGGUUGUAAACUGCUUUUAUAAGGGAAUAAAGUGAGUCUCGUGAGACUUUUUGCAUGUACCUUAUAGAAUAAGCAUCGGC
rnacentral:rRNA from 1 species